CUGAACAGGAGCACCUGAGCCCCUUGUCCGCCGUGGACUCAAGGUCCGGCUCGCCGGCCCGGGACCCCUCUGUUGUCGCUGGAAUCGGCCGCCCUGGCCAUCUGCGACCCAUCCCCUCCUCCUCCGCGCUCCACGUCCACCGGAGCGCCGCCCGUUGCCAUGGCCGCCUCUGAAUCGAGCCAGCCCCACGCUAGCCUCC
rnacentral:lncRNA from 1 species